rnacentral:lncRNA from 1 species
GGUGAAGGAAGCCGCAGGCGCGGAUGGAGGCGAAGAGAUCAGGAGCAGUAAAGGAACACUCUCUUCCCCAGUCAGCUGGGAUACGGAUUUUGUAAGGCCUAGGGACUUUGUCUUUGGAGGUCCUGUCUCCAUAAGGCUUCCCAAAACAAAGAAUGUUCAGAUUGGACUGGCCUUAAAAUGCAGUAUUUAAAACAGCAACAUGUCUGACAGAUCCGAGAAAUGAAAUACGUCCAUUUCUUUUGGCAAGGAGCAGAAGGCAACAUAAAGCAGCUGCAAGAAUUAAUUCAUGGAGAUAGUUGACAUUUUCGAGCUGACUGCCUCUUAGAGAAAAUGAUGUCAUUCUCCAGCAGCCUAAUGACAGUCAUCAGCCUGAGAGGACACAUGCUAAUAAGACUAUCACCAGCAAAGAAUUUUCUGAGCAAAUGUGUACUGGAGACCUUCUGAGGAACCCACUAGAGCCUGCACAUCCCCUUUUCCUAGCAAGGUCAACUGGAAAACAGUGUUCUUUCCAAGAUAACGUGCAACUUUCCUUUGGAAUGAUCAGCAGAAUGUCAAAUAAGGAAAGGACAUGUAGAGUUCAUGGGAGGAGACAUUACUUCUGGCUGCAGAAUUAUGGAGGCUUUAUGGGAGACGCCGUAUAUUUUAUCUGUGCGCCUUGAUCACGUGUCUGACCAUGGACAGAGAAACCAGCCUAAUGAGCCUUCUUUACAGGUGACCCUCUAGCCCUUGGUGAACAUCUUGUUUUUAUUCUUUCUUAAUUCCAACACUUAUUCUUGACAACUUUACAAAUGAACAAAUCUUAUUUACUAAAUUGUUGAUGUAGUUUUUGUCUAACACAGGGCUGAUUUUACCCUUGAGAGACGGACACAAGGCUUCAUUUAGGGGAGGAUUAGGUUUGAUGUUUAUUCACUGCACGAGGCAGAUUGGUUUUAGAGACAUGGGUUACAGUCUUGGCUUUUCCUGUUACUGCUUUUGGGUCUUUAGAUGAACAUUUUGCUUUCUCUAGACUCCUUCUUUAUAUAUAAAACAACUACAUCUUUGGACCUAUAAUAACUGUUGGUGGUCUCCAAUGAGACAAGGAUAUGAGGGUGCUUUGUGAAUGGCUACCCAAAUGUAAAAUAUUAUUAUUAUUAUUAUCA